rnacentral:misc_RNA from 2 species
ACGAGUUAGGGUCUUCUCGGCCCGACCUCCCAACCCUUUGCUUACUUGACCAUUGUUGCUUCGGCGAGCCCGUCUUUACUGACCGCCGGGGGACCAUAAAACGUCCUCUGGUCCGCGCUCGUCGGUGGCCAACUUUUAUAAAUUCUUAACUAAACGUGUCAUUAUCUAAGUACUAUUGUUAAUUAAAGCA